rnacentral:rRNA from 1 species
GAUGAACGCUGGCGGCGUGCUUAACACAUGCCAGUCGAACGGGAAACCUUUUAUUGAAGCUUCGGCAGAUUUAGCUGGUUUCUAGUGGCGGACGGGUGAGUAACGCGUGGGUAACCUGCCUUAUACAGGGGGAUAACAACCAGAAAUGGUUGCUAAUACCGCAUAAGCGCACAGGACCGCAUGGUCCGGUGUGAAAAACUCCGGUGGUAUAAGAUGGACCCGCGUUGGAUUAGCUAGUUGGCAGGGUAACGGCCUACCAAGGCGACGAUCCAUAGCCGGCCUGAGAGGGUGAACGGACACAUUGGGACUGAGACACGGCCCAGACUCCUACGGGAGGCAGCAGUGGGGAAUAUUGCACAAUGGGGGAAACCCUGAUGCAGCGACGCCGCGUGAAGGAAGAAGUAUCUCGGUAUGUAAACUUCUAUCAGCAGGGAAGAUAGUGACGGUACCUGACUAAGAAGCCCCGGCUAACUACGUG